ACUAGAGAUAGCUGGUGCUUAGAAAAGAUUUAAGUUCUUUCUUAAAAAUUCUCAAGCAAAGCCAAGCAAACCUAAUUUUUAAGAAUUAUUCAAUAAAGGUACAGCUUUAUUGAAGAAGGAAACAGCCUAAAACCUUAGGAUAAUGAAUAUUUUUGAACAGGUAAAAGGCUAAGUUGGCCUAAAAGCAGCCACCUUUAAGAUAGCGUCAAAGCUUCACCUCAUAUACACCUUAAAUCUCAUUACUUUCUCAUAAUCCGACAAUUCUACUAAGCUAUUCUAUACUUUUAUAGAAAAAUUUAUGUUAGGACUAGUAACACAGAAUUAUUUCUCUUACAUGUAAGUUUAAAUCAACCCGAAUACCUCCUUGAUAAUUAUUCAAAUUUGAACCUUAAGUAGUACCUCUACCCCUUACAAAAACCCUACUUAACUUAUUGUUAAUCAAACAUAUGGGCAUGAAAGAAAGAUUAAAAAAUUAAGAAGGAACUCGGCAAACACAAGUCCCGCCUGU
rnacentral:rRNA from 1 species